UCCCCAUGGCCCAGGUUUUAGAAAGAAUAGAACAGGCCUGCUACAUAACGAUGCUUGAUCUGUCUCGAAGGUGCUGGCAAAUUCCCAUGGCCACAAAAGACCAAGCAAAAACUGCUUUUGGGACCCCAUGGCAUCUCUAUGAAUUUCACAGCAUGACCUUUGGGCUGCA